UUUUCUUUACCAGUGAUUUUAGGAGCUUUUUCCAGACAACCGUGCUGCAAAACUUCUGAAGGGAACAGCCAGAAACCAUCCUUUGAUUGCUGUGUGCUUUACCUCUUUGAAUUAAGUGAGCUGAUAUUAGGCAUUAAUAAGGAGUGUCUUUCAUCUAUAAAAGAAAAUCCUCACAAACCAGGUGAGCUCCCUCAGUCCAUCAGUGUCCAGUCCUUUGUAUUAAUGUAGCACGGAGCCCUGGCUGUCAGAUGUGGCUUAUAAAUGGACAGUACAUGAGGAAGGAAGCAAGGACGAGGAGUCACCACUGGUUCAGGUUCGUGUGUGGAUCCUCCAGUGCAUUUCUGGUUGUGAAUUUACUUCCCUCCAGCUGUGACAACAUCAGUGUAAUUCUAAACGUUGGGGUUGUGUCUGUAACUGCAUAUAUUGCUAAUUGAAGUUACCUAGUUAGGUAUAUAAUUGCUUUGCUCUGAGCUUUCCUGGCCGUAGCCCAGGGUCAUUUUGCUAAGUGUUAGCGAUGACUUGCUGUUCAGAGAGUCUGAAUAAGUAAAGCUCAGUUUGCGGAAGGAGGUCUCUACCCCGCUGUCACACGUGCUUUCAGUGUCUUGAAAUUUGUGAUUAUAAAGUUCACCUGAGAGAGAAAAGGGAAAUCAAUUAGUUUGUUUUACUUCAGUGACAUCCCAAAAGGCCAGAAGAAUACAAAGCAACAGGUUACAACUCUUGUAUAAGAAAAUAACUGCAGCUUUAGGUACUGCUAUUGGAAAAGGCUGAAUCAGCACAGGCUGAAUGUUUUCAGUUGAGCAGAGCAUGUGAGCUGAUGCACUGCUGGCAGAGAUCAACUGCAGGCAGCGUUUGGGUGAGAUGCGAAGCCUGCUGUGCUGCUGACAUUAAUACUGUCACUGCACUGCAGUCAGGAGUCUGCCCCAGUGUGGUAGCAGCAGGGCAAAAAGUUCUCUGCAUCUCAGAUGCAUGGACUGCGCAAGUACACAGCUCCAGGAUGAGGCUCCUUAGAAUUCUCAUGUUAUUUCAAUUGCUGAUUUCUGAGGUGUUUGUCUUGAACAAUUUUCAUCUAGUUAUUAAAGGGAGACUGAAAUACAAAGCUGUCAUCUGUGUAAGCUUCAUAAAAUAAGCACCUGAUUGCGAGAGAACUGUAUCAGAGUUGUAAUGAAUAGAACAGCAGCUGGUGUAUUACAGAGCCAAGUGGUAUUUUUCUAAACAACUGUUUUUUUAAAAAAAAAAGGACAUUCAUAUUGCAAAGCAGCACAAACUCCCUUCCUCUUUAAGAAUAGUCUAAAGAGGUAAUAUGUACAAACACACUCUUGAAAGGUGCAAAUGUUUGUUCCAUGUCUAGCACAGUUGGACCAGGAUGGAGUUGCUAUGGUUGAUUCUUUGAGAAGUUUAUGAACCCCAAACAUCUGUGUUUGUCUAGAUUGGGUGGAGGAAAGGGGCAAGUGAAAAUAUAAUGGGAAUGUGCAUAAACCUGUAAAUUCAUUCCCUAGUUUAUCUUUUAAACAUCUAAGGAAUUUGUAUCAGUAAGUGGCAGAUGACCACAUUAAGGAAAAAGGAGCCAGUUAUACUCAAUACUGUAGGUACAGGUUAAAAUAAUCCAUUUUUCCUCUUUCUUGUGCAUCUGGCAAAUGUCAACUGAGAAAGCCCUACAUGGUACACAAGCAGAAACAGACAACAGACCACGUACCUCCCAGUUGGCUGCCAUAUCCAGUGGCGUUGUUCCAGGUGUAUAAAAGCCAAGGCUACAAUGUGCAAACCAUGCAAAGAUGCAACUUCCAAGGUCUGUAUCUGCCUAGAAAGACUGUGUUGUCAGAAAUGGUGGGGUGCUUGUCUAGAAGGCAAGUAAGUGUAAAGUACAGGCACUAUCGUUCCAUACCUUCGCCAUUGAAAAGGUCAAUCAUUGAAGAUGCCUUCUGAUGCUUGAGGAGCAGACUCAGAAUCUUGUCAUCUCCUUCAGCAGCAGCUAAAUGUAAGACAGAAUUACCAUGGCGAUCCAGAAGGUUGACAUUUGCUCCAGCCUUCAGCAAGUCUUCAACCACCUCUGCCUGCUUUGUGAUUACUGCCAGGUGCAAGGGGGUCUGGAAGUGACAGAAGUGAGCCAUGAGAACAUGAGGGGCAACUACACCCCUCAUUUACAGAGGGGUGUACAGAAAUCUGCUAAGCCAAUGAAAGCACCUACUGUGAGGUGCUGCUCCACUUUAACGCUGGCACAGGUGAAAAACUUGUGCACGAGUACAUUUUCUUCUGCUGUAUAAUACAGAUCGGGUUUUCUACUUACUGGAAAUAAAAGCCACCUCACUGGUGUCAGCAGUCAGACCUGAGGAGGAAGGAAGACAUUGCCUACCUUGUGGACUGGGGGACUAACCUGGCUGUUUGUAGUGCAAGGGUCUUGGAAAAUGAGAGAAUCCCUGUACUCCCAGAUGCACUAACCCUGCCAAGCUCCUGCCACAGAAGGAGCAAACUCUCUUUCUAGAGCCUGUUCAGCUCUGCCUCUGCAACUGAAUCAUACUCUAAUUUUGCUCCUAAAAAGCAAGUUCCCAGCCACAGGUUUAGGAUUUCCUUAUCCUUCAAAACAACUACAUACAAAAAAGCAGAAAAACUUGCUGUUCUGUUUGCCAAAGUUCAGAUUACACAAUAUCAUCUAGCUGAUACUGUUUGCAUGGUUCCUAUUUUUGCACAAAGACACCUGUAGCACUGAGGCUCUCAGGCUGAGAUUUCAAAUUUUUCCAGAUGUUAACUGUAUACUGCAUCCUUGCCAAUAACAAGUUUCAUGGAUCACAAAGUAUGUAUUUAACAGUGAGGCAAUGCAGUGGUUUAGGAAAUUGUAUUCCUAAUUGUAUUCCUAAACUAAAGUAAUCUGAAAAAUGGAGAAGAUUCCAUCUCCAUAUCAUUACUUUUAUAUUUACAGAUUACUGUAUAAUCUGUUUAAUAAUCUGUAUACCUAUUUCUUUAAUAAUCAAAAACAAGCUUGUGUUUGUCAGUGGAAUUACCAACGUAUUUGCAAUUACUUGAAUUGAUAUGGCAAAGCAUGAUAAUCUUUCAGAGUAUCUGCACAAAGGGAAACCUUAGACUAAACCUGCAUUUCCCUCCCAUCACUGGCUUAAGGCUUAAGUGAAAGGUAGAGCAGCUGGAGAAGUUCUGGUAGUUAGAGAUUUAUUUCUUCUAUGGAGCACAGCUUUGCUUCCUAUUUCUGUUAAACAGAGGGCAUGCAAAAUUCAGUUCAGAAUCUUUUUGCUUUCAUCACCUUUCACAUUUCAAACUUCCUUUAUGCGAGGACAAAAUGAAACAUGAAGGAGAACAGAGAAGUCACAAUAAAGCCUCUGAGAUUAUCUGUAUAGAACGAAGUCUUGGCUGUAUCAUUUAUAGCGUGGAGCUGAACAGAAAGAAAUGGCACAAGUCUCAGAAGUGCUGCUGUGUGAUGUCCAGCUGGGUACCUUUGUGACAACGGAAUGGCACGCAUGGUUGAAGAGAGCUUCUUGUACUGGCAAGUUUCCAUAGCUCUUUUUAAAGCCCAUCUAAGUUGCAGCAGAAAAAGCUCAAACUGUGUUACAGAUAAGUUGAGGAGAGAAUUGUGCUGGGCUGCUAACAGUUACUUCCCUACUGGGUAAAAGACAUGUUUUUUGGUUUUUGUUUUUUUUUGUGGUACACUGUGAACUGAAAAAUGAAAGAAAAACUCUGGUGCUCAUACAACGGGCAUGAAGACCUAGGCUACAGAAAGACAUAGUUUGUUACAAGCUUCCUCAGCAACUCACUCAUGAUCCUGAAUUAUCCUGCAUUAAAAAAUUUGAAAGAGCCCAGAGUUGGCACACUAAUCCAGACCUCUAAUUUAAUAACAGAGGAGCCAAAUAAUGAAAAUAUAAACUGAAGAAUUCGGUAUUUUGGGGCUGUUCUAUAAUAAACAAAUGGAGAUGUUUCUCUUAACAUCAAGGCAGUUAGGAAUUAAUAGAAGGAAAACAUGCCCUUGUUCUUCCACCACCUUACAGCGUGCCACUGUGUUCCUCAGUGCGUGAAACUGUAAACCAGUUUGCCUUACUCUGUGAUCUGGGCUCAUUCUGAUGAACAGAAGGAAAAUAAGACAGUAAGGAGAACAGUUACAGCUGGCUGAAUGAUCUCCAUCAGUUACACCACCACAACAGCAUACCUGAUAAAGGUCAUUUCUCAUGUUGAUAAUGCUGUUGUAAUUCAUGUCCGGCAUCACUUGCAACAGGUUUUUAACCAGUUCUCUAUGAAGGUGGAUAAUUGACAAAUGAAGGACACUGAAACAAAAUAACAGAUUAGCACUGUCACUGUAUUCUCAAACGCAUGAUACAAAUUGUAAGACUUGGCUGUACAGCUGACUAUUAGAAGUCUUUGCCAACACCUAAAAUAAAUGCUAACAUUAAAAAAAACUGAGUCAGAAUA